GUGUUGUUAGGGAAGAACAAGUGCAAGAGUAACUGCUUGCACCUUGACGGUACCUAACCAGAAAGCCACGGCUAACUACGUGCCAGCAGCCGCGGUAAUACGUAGGUGGCAAGCGUUGUCCGGAAUUAAUGGGCGUAAAGGGCUCGCAGGCGGUUUCUUAAGUCUGAUGUGAAAGCCCCCGGCUCAACCGGGGAGGGUCAUUGGAAACUGGGAAACUUGAGUGCAGAAGAGGAGAGUGGAAUUCCACGUGUAGCGGUGAAAUGCGUAGAGAUGUGGAGGAACACCAGUGGCGAAGGCGACUCUCUGGUCUGUAACUGACGCUGAGGAGCGAAAGCGUGGGGAGCGAACAGGAUUAGAUACCCUGGUAGUCCACGCCGUAAACGAUGAGUGCUAAGUGUUAGGGGGUUUCCGCCCCUUAGUGCUGCAGCUAACGCAUUAAGCACUCCGCCUGGGGAGUACGGUCGCAAGACUGAAACUCAAAGGAAUUGACGGGGGCCCGCACAAGCGGUGGAGCAUGUGGUUUAAUUCGAAGCAACGCGAAGAACCUUACCAGGUCUUGACAUCCUCUGACAACCCUAGAGAUAGGGCUUUCCCUUCGGGGACAGAGUGACAGGUGGUGCAUGGUUGUCGUCAGCUCGUGUCGUGAGAUGUUGGGUUAAGUCCCGCAACGAGCGCAACCCUUGAUCUUAGUUGCCAGCAUUCAGUUGGGCACUCUAAGGUGACUGCCGGUGACAAACCGGAGGAAGGUGGGGAUGACGUCAAAUCAUCAUGCCCCUUAUGACCUGGGCUACACACGUGCUACAAUGGACAGAACAAAGGGCUGCGAGACCGCAAGGUUUAGCCAAUCCCACAAAUCUGUUCUCAGUUCGGAUCGCAGUCUGCAACUCGACUG
rnacentral:rRNA from 1 species